rnacentral:rRNA from 1 species
AUUGAACGCUGGCGGCAGGCCUAACACAUGCAAGUCGAACGGUAACAGGAAGCAGCUUGCUGCUUUGCUGACGAGUGGCGGACGGGUGAGUAAUGUCUGGGAAACUGCCCGAUGGAGGGGGAUAACUACUGGAAACGGUAGCUAAUACCGCAUAACGUCGCAAGCCCAAAGAGGGGGACCUUAGGGCCUCUUGCCAUCGGAUGUGCCCAGGUGGGAUUAGCUAGUAGGUGGGGUAACGGCUCACCUAGGCGACGAUCCCUAGCUGGUCUGAGAGGAUGACCAGCCACACUGGAACUGAGACACGGUCCUGACUCCUACGAGAGGCAGCAGUGGGGAAUAUUGCACAAUGGGCGCAAGCCUGAUGCAGCCAUGCCGCGUGUAUGAAGAAGGCCUUCGGGUUGUAAAGUACUUUCAGCGGGGAGGAAGGGAGUAAAGUUAAUACCUUUGCUCAUUGACGUUACCCGCAGAAGAAGCACCGGCUAACUCCGUG